CGAAGUAAUAGUUUAACUAAAAUAUCGGCAUUGGAAGCCGGGGAUUGGAUUUGCAAUAUCUAUUCUUCGA
rnacentral:tRNA from 1 species